rnacentral:lncRNA from 1 species
UUUUUUUUUUUUUUUUUUUUGGUCCCACAAGAAAAAGAGUUUUUCCAAAAAUAGACAACUCAAAUUACUCAAAGAAAGGAAACCUGCUGUUUGCCUUCAGUGCCAUGUGAUCUCAGUUGCCUUCUUGAUCUUCUUUCUGAAAGCUGGAAGUCUGAAACCGGUAUCACUGGGCAGAAAUGAAGGUGUCAGCAGUGAUGUUCUCUCUCCAGAGGCUCUAAGAGGAAAAUGUUCGUUGCCUCGUCCCAGUUCUGGUAGCUGCUGGCAUUCCUGGCUGUGGCUACAGUCUUCAAGGUUUGAUUUAAUUUCGAAUGAGAUUAUUCUUGCAGCGAGAUGUUAAUAAGACAAAAUCUAG